rnacentral:tRNA from 1 species
AGUAAAGUCAGCUAAAAAAGCUUUCGGGCCCAUACCCCGAACACGAUGGUUAAAACCCAUCCUUUAUUA